GCCUCUGGCUAUCAGAAAUUGUUAGUGGCAGACGGGUGAGUAAUGCGUAGGAAUCUACCUAGUAGUACCCAAUAGCCAUUAGAAAUGGUGGGUAAUACUGUAUAAUCCCCGAGGGGGAAAGAUUUAUCGCUAUUAGAUGAGCCUACGUUAGAUUAGCUAGUUGGUGAGGUAAUGCAUUACCAAGGGUAUGAUCUAUAGCUGGUCUGAGAGGACGAUCAGCCACACUGGAACUGAGAUACGGUCCAGACUCCUACGGGAGGCAGCAGUGGGGAAUAUUGGACAAUGGGGGAAAGCCUGAUCCAGCUAUGCCGCGUG
rnacentral:rRNA from 1 species